GAUAUCUCGAAUGUUCCCUUCUGUUAUUUCUGGCAGUUCCCAAUCCUGUGAUGUGAUUAGAGAGGAUGAUUACACUUACAUAACACCAUCAAAUUAAUUUGCAGCUGAGAACAGCAGCAGCAGGAAAUCAUUGGAGUUCUCAAAUCUCCCUUCCUCCCCGCCUUACCCCCCUCUACAGUUUAUUUAAGUGACAUCAAGGGAUUAGAGCAAAGUCGGUCAGUAGAGCACUGCUGGGAAAACAACCAAAACAUCAGCCCUGACCUUGUAAACUAAAGAGGAACACAGCAAAUAAUGAAAAGCCCUUGUCCCGGCUCUGGUGAGAGAAACAGCAGAUGAAUCAGCUUCCCCAACACAUUUCCAUCUGAAAGAUGCAUGCAGAUCCGAGGAGGAGGAAGAAAACUGUACCCUUCAAUGGGGGCAUGGUCCACUUUUUCUCCCAUGUCCAGCCAGCCAAGGAGGACCAACACAUGCGAAACAGCCCUCCCCCUAUGAGGGGCGAUGGAUUUACCCUGUUGCCUGGAGACUGGACUCAAACAGAGACCCAGAGAGAGCACCCGGGGGCUGACUCAGGAGGGCUUAAGAAUGAGUCCUGGAGCUGAUAACUCCUGGAGCGGAUAACAGAGCCGAGUAAUCCCAGCGAAGUGAAGCCUCAGCUCGAGCUGGAGGGAGACGACAGGCAGAAGAAGGCAACGUCUGGGGACCCCCUCCCCAGGAAGGACUUACCUCCUGCCCCAGCACUCAGGCUGCCUCCUGCUGGAUUAAUAUUUCUCAACAUAUAAUUAAAUAUUGUUUUUGUGAUUAAUCACUAUGUUUAAAUUAUGUUUGAUUUGUAGCAAUGAGAAUACAUAAUGCAUAUCAGGUAUUUACAUUCUGAAUCAUAACUGUAGCAAAAUUACAGUUUUGAAGUAGCCACCAAAAUAAUUUUUUGGUUUGGGGUCACCACAACAUGAGGAACUAUAUUGCAAGGUCAUGGCAUUAGAAAGGUUGAGAACCAUUUUCCUAAAUGCACAGGUUUGACCAUGUCAUCCCCCUGUUCAAAAUUUUCAGUGGCUUCUUAGUGCCCAUAGGACAAAAUUCAAACAUUUCCCAAUACUGUAUUGGGAGGUUGAAUGUAGAGGGCUAUGAAUUGCCAUCUAAUAAUAUUUGUUAUUAGAUAAUAUAGAAUUACAUGUUAUUAUAUCUAAUUAUAUCUAAUAAUUUAUGUUAUUAGAUAAUAAAGAAUAUGGUCUGCAUAGAAUUUAGCACAUUUCAAAGCAGGUUCCUUUCUGUUAUUCCAUACACAUACUGACUAGCAUCUAGUUCAAUCUUACAUUUUAUAGAAGGGGCAUUGGUGGCCAGAGAAAGUAAGUCCAUUGCUCACGACCAUGCAGCUAGUAAUGGCAGAGUCAAGGUGAUAACCUAAAGUCUACACCUCCAUUCAGCAGUCAAAUAACACUCAAAUUAGGUCGAUCAACUACAUGCUGAUAAAAUAACUUUCAAACUACCAGAAAGUCGUAAUCAAUAUAAAAAGUCAGUUUCGUGGCCUUCUAACGUAUUCCACUAAGAUGUAUAUUUACAGAAGGAGACAAGGGAGAGGAAGAAGCUUAUCAGUCUGGGAGCUCCCACCUGCUAGUGGCUGGCCCAGAUUUUGUUUGAAGGCAAACAUGGAAUUACAAAUAAAUACAUGCAGAAUUUCAUAUCACACGGUCAAAAAGUUUAUGUUACAGUAUUUCAUCCUCAGAUUAAUUAGUGUUCUCAUUACAAGACCCUUGACUCAAACCCAGCCUGAGGUGAAUGCUAGUGCCACUUCUGUAGCAAUUAAUAUAUCAUUUAGAAAGAAAAAAAAAAGGGAAAAAACCCCUUUGAGUCUGUAGCAACCACAAUUCCCACAAGAGUAUAAUGAGGAAGCUGAGUCGUUUAAAGGAUUAAAUAUUGGCAUUUCACUUUUAGGAUCACAUUUUGCAUGCAACCACAAUUUCAGACCUGAAAGACUGGCCGUCUCAGAUUUGACCAAAAAUGUAAAGUAAUCUUCCCAUAAUGUAAUCUGACAUCGUCUCUCCUCCCUAGUUAACUACUUCAGGGUAUGCCUCAUAGAAAUGAAUAUCCAUUGGUUCCCCCACAUGUAUGAAUUUUCAAAUGUUUAAUAUGUAUAAAAUCAAAUUGGUUUGUGAGUACCCAAAGUUCCAUCUCCCAUUUUGGGGUCUUUGAAUCAAUGGUGCUCCAUGUCUGGAAUGAACUAUGUUCUCAUAUCCAGCUUAUAAUUAUAAUUAUAAUUCUUUCAAAGUAUGGUUUCCUAUAAGAAGCCUUUUCUGAUCCCUUACCCAUACUGUAAUCAUUGGCGUGCUUCCCUUCUUGAAAUGUCUUUGAUUUACAUUUUGUAUUUAACAUAUGUUUCAUAACAUUGCAUUAUGGUUUUAAUGUCAUAUGUAAAAAUAUAUGUACAUGUACAUGUAUAUACACAUAUAUAUUUGUGUGAAGGCUAUUCCCCAAGUAUACUGUAAACUUCCUGAGGCCAGGGAUCAUUUUGCCUUUGACUUUCUGUCCCUAAAACCUAGCUUAGUGUCUUCUACAAUGUAGGCGUUUUCAUAAACAUUAGAAAAAUUCAAAGAAAAAUGUUGCCUGCUACACAGGGUCAUUCUUUUAAAAAUCUAUUAACUCCAACUUGUCAGUUAAGAAAAUUAAAUCAGACUGGAAAAGAAAACUUCCCUCAGAGUGUUGCAGAAGAAGCAAGAAUUUCAGGCACACAUGCAGCUCCAUUUUUUUUCUUUUAUGAGAUAUGGGAGGGUACAAUGGAACUGCUGAUUUUGUUUGGUUUUGUUCUUUUGGGCAAAUAUCACAGAACUCCAAGUCUGGGACUAUUUUGGAUUUGGCCAACAAUCUCAAUACCUCAAUCUUUUAAAACUGCUUUGUAUGUAGAAUCUCAGACUGGCUUUUUGGUUUCAAAUUUGAAGCCCCUGUGUAUUUCAAGGGAAGUUUAAUUUGUAUGUUUGUUUAAAAAUGUAUUUCAAACUGAUUCAUAAGAAUGCAUUCUCUGAGUCUUUUCCUUAAAAGUAUCAAAGCUUUUGCUAGAAGAAUAAAGAAAUUCUUUAACCCAGUAGAUUUAAAGUCAAUUCAGGCGGGCAGAGAUGGUUUUAAGGUUGAAUGCUAAAAAAAACCUAUCCUAACCCCCACCCAAACCAAAGAAAUAAACAAACAAAACAAUAACACCCCACAUCCUUUGGUUUCCCAAUUUGUUUAGCUUUCAACUUAAAAGUACAGGACAGAAAGGUAAUACUGAGAUGAAAGGCAAAGGAAGAGUUCCCUUAGUCUAUUCUUUGGAAUAAUUAAUUAGCUGAUACUAUGCCUACUGCUAGUAAAUCUAUACACAACGAGGUUAUAUGUUAAGUACACUUUAUUCUGAAAACUUCACAUGGUUGGAUUUGAAGCUCACCAUCCAACAAUCACCUCUAUUUAAAAGAUUCUGUUAAUAAGGUACCUGUAGAGGCCAUUCCAAAAGAAUCUUUAUGAAAUAUUCUGUUAAAAGCAUUAUAGUAUAAACAUGCUAUGCACUGAAUCAGAAUGAGGGCUACCUUUUAUUUUUAACCCUUACCUUCUGUCUUAGUAUCAAUUCUAAGACAGAAGAGUGGCAAGGGCUAGGUAAUCAGGGUUAGGUGACUUGUCCAGGAUGACACAGCUUAGGAUGUAUUGGAGGCUAGCUCUGGAUUCUAGGCUUGGUGCUCUAUCCUCUUUGCUCCCUCUGGCUAUUUUUAACCAAUACAAAGAAGUUCUCUGAAAUGAUGGGGUUUAAGUUCUAGUUAGAUGACAAAAGAAUGGUACAGGGAUAGAGAAAUUAAGUUGACCACAAGCAUUUUUGAAAUACCUACUAUGUGCCAGCCACUAUGUUAAACUCUAGAUAAAUAUAUCUUAAUUGGUAAAUUGAUCAGCUUACAAAAUACAUUCUUAUAUUAGGCAGUCAGGAAAAUCUGGGUAAAUAAAUGUUCUGGUUAAUCGAGAAGUACAAUAUGGAGCAAUGGUAAAUAAAGAUGGUGGACUAUUCCUAUUUCCUAUUUUAAAAAUCAAGGGACAGCUAGGUAGCUCAGUGGAUAGAGAGCCCAGGCUGGGAGACAGGAGGUUCCAUGUUCAAAUCUGGCCUGAGACACUUCCCAGCUUCUUCUUCUGCCUUAGAACCAAUAAUUAGUCUUCAUUCUAAGACAGGGAGUAAGGGUUUAAAAAAAAUCAAGACAAGGAGGUAGCACAGUGGACAGAAGACUGGAUUAAGUUCCAAUUCUCAAGUUACACAGCUAAUAACUGGCUAAGUUAGAAUUUGAAUUCUACCUCUGAAUCUAAUGCUCUUUCUUCACCAUACUAGCUCAAAUGCCGAACACCAUCUUUAAGGAGUGAGAAAGUACAUUUUUAUUGGAAGAAACUGGCCAAAAGACAGGGAAGGAAGCUGUUCAAGCUGCAUUGUAAUAAAUAGAUUCCCAAGUUUGGCAACAACAUCAGCACUUUGUGGGCAGUGGAGAAGACCCGCUCACUGCCUGCUAACCCAAGAUGACAUCUCCAAGAGGGACAAUAUGAGUGCAUUAUAAACUGCUGCUGUGGCUGCUUCUAGUUCUCUGUUAGACAUGGUCUAAUGAGUUUAGAAAAUGACAUUCAAGAUGCUGUUUUGCCAAUUAGAACUUCCGUUACCUGAUUCUUGAAGGACAUAGGCAUGCCUAAUUGUAAGCUCAGACAUUUUAUUAAGUUGUUAUUCUGUUUCUAGGGCUGAAAAAGUCUUUUAACGUUCACACAGGCAUAUAUUCACUUAAAAAGAGGACGGUGGGGGGAGUGAGGGCAUAAACAGCUGGGAAAAAAAUGUGCUGGAUUCCAAAUGGAAGGUGUAGUCAUUUCCAAAAUGCACAGAAUUCUGCCAGUGUUAGUCUCAGAUGCAGGCUCCAGGUCUUUGUGAAUUGGAAAUCAGGAAAACACUACAGAUGUUUUCCAGUCUUCCUCUUCUGUUAACACUAUCUUGGGCAGCUGAAGGGGAAAGAGAUGGAAGAGCCACAGAAUCCUUCCAAGGCCAGGGCCUGUCAUCUAUCUGAAUAAUCUUAUUAGGAAAACCAGGUCAAAUGAUGGACUAUUCCUCCCUACUGUCAGCCCACCUCACCUCAAUCCUCCUACCAAAAACAAAACAAAACAAAAAAUUGGAUUGUUUCAAACACUCAGGGUUAAGCCUGGUUUCCCUUAACAUAUUUGAAAGGUGUUUCCUACCAAUAAAAUAUCCUUUAUACAAGGACCAGGUUCCCUAAGCCUCACCCUAUCGUGUUUUCUUUCUUUCUUUCUUUCUUUCUUUCUUUCUUUCUUUCUUUCUUUCUUUCUUUCUUUCUUUCUUUCUUUCUUUCUUUCUUUCUUUCUUUCUUUCUUUCUUUCUUUCUUUCUUUCUUUCUUUCUUUCUUUCUUUCUUUCUUUCUUUCUUUCUCUUUCUCUUCCUUCCUUCCUUCCUUCCUUCCUUCCUUCCUUCCUUCCUUUGAUUUUCUUGGGGAAAAAAAAGUUUUGUUUUUCAAAGUUCAGGAAGCCAUAUUAAAUACUUACCAAUGCCCAAAGAGCUGGAAGGUCCUAUUGGGCUGUUGAUGCUUUCCAUGGGAGCCACCAUCCCCUGAUCCAAUUUUGUGAAGAGUUGGGUGGGCAUGUGAUCUGAGAGAUGGGGCCAAAUCCUUCUUGUUCUUUUUUUUUUUUUCAAUUUUGCUUCCCAUGCACCCCCGUGACUUACCCAGCUGGGAGCCCUCCCACCUGUCCACUAGGUCUAUCUGCCUUUUCAAUUCUAGACCAUCCACCUGUGUUCUUCCACUUUCUGGAAGAAUUUCAUUUUCUGCUUUAAUGCCUUUUCAGCACAGCACCAAUAACCUAUCCCAUUCUAUAACAUACACCAUAUCCCCCCCCCCCAAAAAAAGGUCCUCGUGGCUUCUCCCUUCAUGAUUGGCAUCUCAUUAAUGAAGAGGAGCUGGUGUCUCUCAUUACAGUUACAGUGAGUGAAAGCACCUCAGAACUAAUUUAGUUGCUCUCACUAGGGAAGACACUUUCUUCCAUCUAGAAGUUCACUUUCUUGCUGCCUGUGGCAAUGAAAGAACCCGUUUUGUUUUAACAUUAAUAAGGUGAGAGAAUAGAGAAUUUCCAAAAGAAAUUAAGAAAGGCAAGAGGGUAGAUGUCGGCCUCUGAAAGGUUCCCAAAAGCAGGCCCAGUGUUGGAUUCAAAUGAGGGAUGCUCCCUGCAGCAAAAAUGGGAACAGCAGGAAAUAAAAGCCCAACAGGCCAAGCAGAAACCAGCUAAGAACAUGGGGGUUUGCUAGAAAGACCUUUGGACUGAGAGUCAGGAUAUCCGGGUUCUAAUCUCAGUUGCACCAGGAAUGGGCUGCAUGACCUCAGGCCAAUUCCUUAUUCUCUUAUGACUUCAGAUUUUUCAUCUUUAAAAGGAGGGGGCUGGAUGACAUGAUCCCAAAGGUACCUUCCAGCUCUAAAACACUAUUAUUUUAUUAAUGUAGAAAGGGACUACUGUAACUUUUUUUUUUCUGUUUGGGGUGAAUUUUCUUUUCUUUCUUUUUUUUCCAUCUAUGGCAACAAAUUACAAAUUCUUCCAGAAUUAAAGAGCAUGGAAUGGAAAUUAUUUGGCUUCCCUAGCUGAAAAGGUCAACUAGAUUCAGAAAUGUACUUCAUGCUUCUUACUGUCUGAGCAGAAACCUAAUUAGAGAUCAUACUUCAUUGGCUAAAAGGGAUCAAACUUAUCAGAGCUCUCAUCUGAAUAUGUAUUUUUUAAAAAAAUUACCCUGAGUUACUAAUUCAUUUAUCUUUUUUACUUACAGGAAAUUCCCCUCAUUGAUAAAGCUCUGCUUUGACACUCUUCCUGCCAUAAAAUACCUUUAUUUCCAUAGAUAUAACUUUAUGAACAUACCCCCUUUUAUCAUGUUUUACUUAAAAUACCUUGUCAUUUGGGAAACUAUAAAAAAGGGCACCUUAAAAAAAUGUGUUCAUCAUUUAGCUUGAGAUGGCAUCAGGGCAUGUAAUAAUUUGAUUGUCUCUGAGCAGCUUUUAAAAAAUGAGAAGAAAAAAGUCUUGAGCUGAUAUUAAAAUGUGGAAGGAUUUUCUCUUCCCUGGAUCUGCAUGAUUCGGUAUUGAGUGACAUCAUUUGGAAAAGGAAUGCUGUAACCCAAAGGUAAGCUUGGGGAUCAUAUAGCACAUACACCCAGCAAUGGAAUCAAAUGGGGUUUUCCUGGGGAUGGGGAGAAGGCAGCAACAGUAUCCAUGAGGGAAGGAACUUUCCACAGAGAACGACCUCCGUGAUAUAUGAGAUUCAUCCAUUUUCUUUCACUUUCUGUGAUGGUAUCAAAUGUGUGUGAGUGCAGUAAGCUAGAACCAUGCACUAAUUUUGUUUCUUAUAUUUAAAAAAAAAACUCUGCUUUCAAAUUAAGGUGCCUUAUCAAAAAUUAAAGCAGGUAAGCAGCCUAGAUAUUGCAGGAAGAACACAGGAUUUGAUUGGAUUUGAUUAUUUAGACUGGGUCUCCUGUCUUGCCCAGGCUCCUGUGACUGGCAUGGCAGUUUUGACCUGCUCUCUUUCUGAUGUGGGCCAGCUAUUCCCUUUCUUAGCAAUCUGGUGACCCUUUCCUGGGGGUGGACGAGGAGGAAGGGCUCAUCCUAUUAAUACCAAACAUUAAAUCAGCUUAGCUCACUGUAUCUCAGAAGUCUGGAGCUGAAGACAUUAGCCAGGCUCUUCCUCAACAGUAACCAGGAUUAUGGGCAUGUGCCACCAUGCCUGGCAAACUCAGGAUUUUAAAUAGAGGGACUUAGAUUUGAACCCUAGUUCUGCCGUUUAUCUGUAUGACCUUGGACAAGUCACUUAAUCAUUUGAGGUCUUAAUUUCCUUAUUUGUAAAAUGGAGGGAGAAUGUGAGUCUAGAAAAGGGGGUCAUCCAUAGGGGUUCUCCAUCUGAGGUGAGUAAACUUUUUUUAAAAAAGCUAUUUUAACAAAAUUAGUUUCUUCUGUAACUCUAUGCUUUUUAUUUUAUGUAUGUAAAAUCAGUAUCCUGAGAACAGGCUAUAGGCUUCACCAAGCUACCAAAUGGGCUCAUGACCAUUUGAUUAAGGAUUAAUUAAGAACAUGGUUAAGAACUCCUGUUCUAGAUGACCUCUGUUUCCAGCUAUGCACUUUGACCCUUUGUCAAGCUGAAAUAUACACAAACUAUAUCUAUUUUGGAUGUUCUUGGACCUUCCCUAAACCCCCUUCUCAUGAAACCAGCAUUUUCAUCUACUUGCUCCUAUUCUAAGUGUCUCCUAUGGGUAUUGACAGCCUUUUCCCCUAUCUAUAAUCUUUGAACUAAAAGAAGGCCAAUCGGGUCAGACUUGGUCAGAUUUUAUGUGCCCUAAGUUGGUUAAGAGAUGGAUAAAUCAACCCUUUCUUAUUAAAACUAGGAUUAUUAUAUAUAUUUUUAUAAUCAAAUAAAUAUUUUAUUGACAUACUUUAUCACAUAACCUUUAUUUUCCAGUGAAUGACCCAGAAAAUCUUUUUAUCUCUAAUGCCUGGUGCAUCAUAGGUACAUAAUAAAUGCUUGAGAUAAAAUAAUCAACACAUUGUGCCUUUUAUAUGCCUCAUUGGACUAUUAUAUUUUUGUUUAAUUUGUCAAACUCUCAUUCCAUAAAUUUUCACAGAUCCCCUUAGGUUGCAGGGGUAUUUGGACCUCCUUUUAAAAUAAAUAAUGGGAAAGAUAUAUGAAGGGAUGAAACACUGGUAGAAUUAGGGACAAAAGUAAAAGUUUUCUGACUUCCUUACCAAUGCUUCAUUAGGCUAUCCUACUAAAUUCAUUUUCAUCUUUGACGUAGUCCUGCGCAUUCCUGGGGUAUAAAUCAAGUCUUUCUGACACUGGCAUUUUUCUCACGGUUAUAGAGAAUUUUAAAAAAGAACUAUAGAAGAAAGUAAGAGACCAGGGUUCCAAUUUCCAGGCCGUAACUCUUUCUUAAAAGAGAGAAUUGGCCUGCAGUGUCUGUAAUUUAGGCAGUCUUAAUGAAUGAUUUCUAAAUUAUUUAUUACUUGCAGAAAGCCCUAAACAUCCCUCCCUGAAAGAUUACAAAACUAUCUGGGUAGGAGUCAGAGAGUUCAAACAUUUGGCCCUUUUGGCUGGGCUUGUUGUUGAAACCGGUCAUGAUCUGGGAACGAAUUUCCUUCUUGACUUCCUUAUUCCAAAUAUUGUGCUAUGUCCAUGCAGGACCCAUUUGGGAUUGUAGAAAAGUGCCUUUGCCGCAUGAAUUGCUCUUUUUUUUUUGCACACUUCCAACUGGAUCAACUAUUCCCAAAUUAGUUGAAAAUUAGACACUGCUGGAAUAUACAAACUGGAUACAUGAGCAAGAAUGCAUUGAAGUAUCUUAGCAUCCUUUCAGAGAGCUUUCUGCUGCCAAGCCAAAACACCCAGACGGGUAGACUGCUGUGAAAUAUGUAGGCGAUGCCUGCUGACUGAUUUUCAGAUGACGAGGAGGUAUUUGAAAGCAUCAAAGGGCCCCGUAUAGAUAUGUGUACAUUAAACCUUGCCUCUGUGAUCUCUGCACUUGACUAUUGUAACUCACUGUUUAAUGGAUUGACAAUCUCUGCCCUUCACCGAUUUAACACCUUUUCAAGGAGCUGCUGCCUUCACACAGGCUUCUCGCUGGGGCUGAGUUUCAAAAGUUUCCAUUCCCAGGUCUGUGAUGUUGCUUUGGUCACAGUUUGAGUUAUUCAGUUUGGGCCUUCUUUCUUAUGGGCCUGUUUCUGCCUGCUUUAUGCCGAUGUUUGGAUGGGCUUAUAAAGCGUUUCAAUCAAUACAUAUUUGCCAAGUGUUGAUGGGGAAUCACCUCCGUGAUUGGUAAUUUUUUUUUUAAAGUAGACAAUACGGUCCUUGUCCUCAAGAAACUUACAAUCUAGUGGGUGAAAUCUGACCGAUCUAACCCACACUACAAAGAAGUUUAGUGUCUAUAGUCAUCCGUACUUGAGAGGCUUGGGAGGUGAGGGAUCUCCUUCGGUAGGAGAAAUGGGGUUAGGACAGCUAAAAAUAAAUUUGGUUCCCAAACGACUUUAUUCUGGAUUUCUUCUUGGAUAGAAGCACAAAAAAUAUCCUCAUUUUCUUUCUAUUCUCAGUACUCAGAGAUGCUUCUUUACUUGUUGUGCUCCAGGUGCCAGGUGGUUGACUAUGACUACCUACAUUUGAAUGUGCCCACAAAGUAUAACACCUUAAAGUUUUUUUUGGGAGAAAAUCACCAAUUUGUUGUGGAUUGAACAGGUAAUGAGUGUGCACAAUCCCAACAUAUGUGUACUGUUAAAUAGUGAUGAACCUUUAAGUCAAUAAAGAAGAAACCAAUCAGACCACAAAGGAGUUGAGUGUUCCUCAGAUGGAGGUUGAACACACAUUUCACUUGGGAUGCAGGAACCUCUGAAUAUUGACUGAUUGGCUCAGAGCCAAGUGGUUGGCUGGGCUUCAACAACCCCCCCCCCCCAUUUUGCACUCCCCUCCCUACUACAUUUGUACAAUUUCCAACUAGUUGUUCCCCUUAUCUAACAACUCUGGUCUCAUUCUACUGUGGAAUAUGGAGGAGAAUUUUGUCUACCAACCCAAAGGUCAUCUUGGGGAAAACCAGCACUUGCUCCACUUAUGAGUAGGCAGUAAAAUGGUGAGUGAUAGAAGCGGACUGCUUGUCUGAUGAAUGUAUUGAUUUUUUUUUAUUCCUACUAGCAAACAUAACAUUUAUACCAUUGAGAAACAGAUGCUUUUCUCUUUCUUUUUUUGAAAGGGACGGGGUUUACUGAACAGUGAAUAUCUGAAAAUAUUUGCUAUCAAGAAAUGAUAGGAAGACUGGGGCUGAGACCUUAGAGUACUGGGAUGCUUUUAGAAUCUUCUCAUGAAAUGUUUUCAUUAAACUCCCUAAAUGAGCAUUGAAUGUGACUUUCUAUAGGAUGAAUUUUUCCAAAAAUUGUAGUCCCCAAAAAGGCAACAGACAUCAUAACUAAGCAAUGUCAGGACAAAUUUACCAGCUAUGUUCAAUUUUAGACAACAUUUCUACUAGGAUAGAGAGAAAAUGACGGAGAACAGUUCCUCUUCUUAAAUCUCAACCAUUAGCCCUAGGAAAUCACACACAAGGGGAAAUUAACCUCUACAAUAAAUACUUAUUAGGAAAACCAAAUGUCCUUCCUUUCAGCUAGAACAAAAGCAAGGCUCAAUUUGUUAUUUUCUGAGAUAACUGUUUUGAUACUUCUGUUGAAAACAUUUGAAGGAGAAAAAGUUUUUUGGUUUUUUUUUCCCCUUGGUCUACUUUUAUGUAAACUUGGAUCUCUGGUCACAAAAACUUCCAUUAUAAAUCACCAAAGCCCGGCCUUCAGAAGGGCUCUGGAAUCAGAGAGCCUAAUAUUUUGAUUAAAUUGAAAAAUGAGAUCCAAAACACAAUUCAAAAAUCCAUUAGGUUGAACAAUGCCAGCUGACAUCUGUACCUAUAAGUCAAGAUAAUUACCAAGCUGCUAUACAAAUUUAGUUAUGACUUAGGUGAUAAUCUUGGACUAACAGUGAAAUGAGCCCUUGGGCAUUCUAGUUGCCCAGGGACCAAAGGCCAGACAAUUUUGGUAGUCCUUUUUUUAGAAUCUUUUUGGCAGUAGGCUGGUGAAAUUUCUUAACCACGAUGCAAUGUACUUGAUUCUUCAAUACUGGUUCCCAUUCAGUACCACAUUUAGAAAUUUACUGUAGGUGAUGGGAGAGCAACUAGGUGGCUCAGUGGUUUGAGAGUCAGGCCUAGAGACAGGUGAUUCUGGGUUCAAAUGUGGCCUCAGAUAUUUCCUAGCUAUGUGACCUUGGACAAGUCUACCCCCCAUUCCCUAGCACUUACCACUCUUCUGCCAAAGAAACCAAUAUGUUCUAUUGAUUCUAAGUCAGAAGGUAAGGAUUAAAAAAAAAAAUUUACUCUGUUCCAUUUUAUGGAAAAUUCAAUCAAUCCCCUUGAUUUCUUCUUGGGACUCUCUACCUGAGUUGUCUUUUGAUCCUUCCUGUCCUUUCUUCCACCCUCUAAUGAUUUACCAACCACAGUAUUCCUCAAAUUUUUCUCAGCCCUGUUUCCUACCCCCUUGCAUUUUUCUUGCUCCUUUCAUUUUUCCUGUGUAUGCUGACUCCCUAGUUCCUCUUCUACUAAAUUAUGCUCUAUUAUUUCCACAGCCUGAAGAACUCACAGCUGAAGCAUUAUUUCUAACCUUAUUUUAUAUUCCUAGCAUGUGCUAUAACCUGUUUUGAGUUUUAUUUGCAGCCAAGAUGCUGACACAGCUCCAAUUUUGUUUUCAUAUUUUGAUUGGGUAGGAGUGUUCGUUACUGUGGGUACCAGGGAAAGGGGGAAAAAGUCAUUUUUUAAAAAAAAGGCACAUUUAUACCUUCGUUAAAGAGCUCUUUGUCUCUGAAUCCAGCCCUUUUUAAUUUUUUGAAUUACAUACACUCACAAAUAUUAU